rnacentral:snRNA from 1 species
GUGCUCACUUUGGCAAUACCUAUACUAAAGUUGGAACAACAUAGACAAGAAUAUGUAACAUGGCCCUCAUAUAAGAAUGUCAUGCUAAUUUGUGAAGGGUGGAACUUUCAA